rnacentral:rRNA from 1 species
UGGUCCCUACGGGGGGCAGCAGUGGGGGAUAUUGCACAAUGGGGGAAACCCUGAUGCAGCGACGCCGCGUGUGGGAAGACGGUCUUCUGGAUUGUAAACCACUGUCCCCAGGGACGAAAAUGACGGUACCUGGGGAGGAAGCUCCGGCUAACUACGUGCCAGCAGCCGCGGUAAUACGUAGGGGGCAAGCGUUAUCCGGAUUUACUGGGUGUAAAGGGAGCGUAGACGGCAGAGAAAGUCUGAAGUGAAAGCCCGCGGCUCAACCGCGGAACUGCUUUGGAAACUUUUCGGCUAGAGUACCGGAG